rnacentral:rRNA from 1 species
AUUGAACGCUGGCGGCAGGCUUAACACAUGCAAGUCGAGCGAGCGGCGGACGGGUGAGUAAUGUCUGGGCAACUGCCUGAUGGAGGGGGCUAACUACUGGAACCGGUAGCUAAUACCGCAUACCAUCAGAUGUGCCCAGAUGGGAUUAGCUAGCAGGUGGGGUAAUGGCUCACCUAGGCGACGAUCCCUAGCUGGUCUGAGAGGAUGACCAGCCACACUGGGACUGAGACACGGUCCAGACUCCUACGGGAGGCAGCAGUGGGGAAUAUUGCACAAUGGGCGCAAGCCUGAUGCAGCCAUGCCGCGUGUGUGAAGAAGGCCUUCGGGUUGUAAAGCACUUUCAGCGAGGAAGCGUUACUCGCAGAAGAAGCACCGGCUAACUCCGUGCCAGCAGCCGCGGUAAUUC